UAACGGACAACCGUCUAUAUUG
rnacentral:miRNA from 2 species